rnacentral:lncRNA from 1 species
CGGCAUAUGGAGUACCUUGGCCAGGGAUCAGAUCAGCCACAGUCGACCUAAGCUGUGGCAAUGCUGAUCCUUAACCCACCAUGCUGGGCUGGGAAUUGAACCUGCAUCCCAGCAUUCCCAAGAUGCUGCCAAUUCAUUGUGCCACAGAGGGAACUCCUGUAUUAAAAAAAAAAAAAUCUUAAUUUAGUGCCUCUCGUCCAGUGUUUUUUUCUCCAUCCUUCUCCUCUUUGAUGUGUUUUAGGACUUGUGAAUCCACUGAGUGAGCCCAGGGAUUGAACUCAUGGACAGUGGUCAGGUUGAUUAACCACUGAGCCACUAUGGACACUCCUCACAUCUAAGUAAUUUUCAGUGCCACACUGUGAUACUUGGAUGCUGCAGGCAACUCAGGACUCUAAGUGAAUCCUCUGAUCUCAUAUCCCUCAUGACUAUUUAUUACAUUUAUAGAAAAUGAUCAGUAACAGCCCAGUUUUUCUCUUUUCUCCUACCUUCCAUAUUCAAAGGAAAGAUUUUAUGAACACUCCAUCCUCAUCCCAACUUAGUCCUUGUUGGGGAAGUUUGGGGAAAACCACAAAGAGAGAUUUUUUCUAAGAGUUUCAAAUUCCUCCAGUUUUACUGUCUCUUUUUCCCUUCCUUGAAGAAUUCUUCUAAUGUCUAGGGGGUUGGUGGAAGAGAUGGAGAAAGAAAAGAUUUGCUGUAACAUCUGAAUCUUUUCUUUCUCUCACAUGCCUUCAUCUGUAGCUCUUAAAUUUAGAAACCUUGAGUUUAGUAUCUUUAUUGUUCAGCCAUGAUCUGACAAUUUUUUCUAAGGUUAACAUCAACCCAUGUUGUGCACUAGAAUAUAGGUAAUUGGAGGAGAAAAAAAUAACAUGGCAGUUAAGGAAUCAAAUUUUAUUCAGAGGCAAAGGAACUUACACAAUUAAUGCAGUAGAGUAGGAAAGGGGGGUUUGCACAAUUUCUUAGCUGUUGCGUGGAUAUUUCUAACAAAUGCCCUAAGUCUCCAGAAAUAUCUAUCUGAAGCAUAACUCAGAGAUCUUUAUAAGUUAUGUGCAACUUUAAAUCUUAGGUAUAGAUCAUCAGAUAGAACAUGAUUUUAAAAUAAUAAUAUCAACUAAAGGGAUUCUUGGGGCAAACUUUUGAGUAUUCUUUCUACAACCCUUUAUGUGGGCAGUGAUAUUUCCAUUUUAUUGAUGAAGGGUGAAGCUCAAUGGUGUUGGAUAAUUUGCAAGAGUGUACAUACCUAAUGAGUAGAAGAGCCAGAACUUGGACAAAAGAUGUACUUGACUACAAAGCUCUUUCCAAGAACACAUAACUGUCUCUCAUUAGGAAAGCCAGACCCUUCCCCCUUAGUCAGCUGAUAUAAGAAAUCUGACUCUGACUCUGCUCUCCCUAGGUCAAAACCAUUCCCUUUGGAUAAUUCCAUAUUAGGAAUGAAUAAUAAAUUUAUUUCCUUCAUUCAGAAAUACUACUGAUAACAUAUCAACAGGUAUAAGCUAUUGGAAGGGAAGAAACCAGAAAAGUCUCUUGGGAGUCAGCAACAAUUUUGACUCUCUUUUGGUAAAACUUUCUCACAUUUUGAAUAUCUUGAGCUGGUCUGAGAGGGAAGUGCAUUUUAAAUUAAUUUUCUCCUGGCAGGUUGUAUCUGUGAUAAAUUGAAGAACUCCACAAAAAUCAUCCCCAUUGCUAGGUGUUUAAUAGCUCAGUCACUUCAAUACCCCAUUGGGGUCACUUUAGGUUUUUUUUUUUCCUUCCCUUCUAUCCAGAAUUACACAGUCUUAACAAGAUGUGGAGGCAAUUUUGAUAUCAAAAACUAAGAGACAGCUCUACUUUUAAUAAGCUUUAAUAUCAGGGUAUCAACAGCACCCUUGGUGCUGUGGCCGGAAAUGACAGUUUUAUUACCCUUUCCUUUGAAACUGAUAAAUUGGUUCAGGCUAAGGGCAGCUUUCUUAGCUGCCACCAAAAAAAGCAAGAAAAAAGAAACUGACUAUCACUGGAGUUAUUUAAAGCUCUAUAGAAAUUUUUAAUGGACAGGAGAUUUCAUAUGGUUGUUGUCACUGAGUGCUGACUCUUGGAUGUUUGCCAGUUGCAAAGGGACAUAUUUGUGUGUGUGUGUGUGUGUGUGUGUGUGUGUGUGUGUGUAUUUGAGAGUAAAAGAGAAGUGAGAAGAACACUAAAAAAAUAUUUAGGCUUGGUCUUACUUUCGACUUUGCGUAUUACAGUCUAUGAGUAGCAUUUUAACAGCAUCGUAUUAUUAACAACGUAAAACCAAUUUCAGUAUCUUCUUCUCUAAGGGAAACAAUUGAUAGGUUAUCAUUCACAUUUAUCAAAAUUGGAUAGGACCUCUUAAGUGCAAGCAUCAGACAUGUAUCUCAGAUGUGCUUUGAUGGUGAGCGGAAAUAUUCUAAUUUCAUAAGAAAAGGCUACAGUGCCAUGAAUAUUCAGCAAGGCAUCUCUGGAGAUAAAGAGGCAUGACUAUCACAAUUAUAGAUCCUGUGUACCUUGUAUGAUUUCAAAAUUGAACAAUUGCUUGUGAAAGAACUCUGCUAGUUCUGUAGAGAGGAAGCCAUGUCCUUCCAGAGGCUCAAUCAAAUUCCUGGAUGGAAUGUGCUUGUCAGACCAAACUAUGAAAUCAGAGGACUAGGGGAAGGGUGUGCUGAGUCUUUUCUUCUCUAAAAUGGUGCAUUCAGUUCCAACUCUUGUCAUCAUUACAGAUUGUGGAUCUUUUUUUCCAAGUAUCAUAAAUUUAUUUAUUUUUUAAAUUGAAGAUUUGGGAACUGAAAAGACCUUGAAAUGAUUUGAAUUAUUGAGUUAUAAGACAGAGAGCUAAGGGCUAGUAAGAUAAAAUCUCAAAGAUAGGAAGAAAUUGGUGUAACACCCAGGAUUAGAAUUUUGUUCUCUGGAACCACUUGAUUUUCUUGUUCUGCCACAGUGCAUAACCCUAGUCAGUUAGGGAAUUUUAGUUUUGAAAAUAGAAGACAACAGCUUGAAUAUAACAGAGCAUCUGUAUACUGGCAAGAGAUCCUAGGCAUUCUCCUCAGUACUGCUAGUCUCUGCACAAUGAAUCAGUUCCAUACCUGUAAUACCACCAUGUCUCAACUUGACAAUUUUAUUAGCUAUUUAUCAAGUUUGAGUUGACUGAUAGAGUAUCGAGGCUAAUGAUCUACAUUUAUCAAGAAUUUUGGUGGAAUUGUGGCUCCAGAGAGGAAUUUCGGUAACCCUAGCACCAUUGUAACCUCUUCACUCACCCUGGAAAUCUUGUUCUCUCAGAGUGAAGCACCACUCAAAUUAUUAGGGCUCCCUCAUGACACCCUGAGAAUCAGAGUUGGCAGGACUGUGAUAUUCAAAGAUGAAAUUUCAUCACAAUAUGAUGGAAGAUUACUCCUCUCCUUUAAUAUUCACUCAGUAAAGAUAAGACAGCCUGUAGAGAAUAGUGGCUAAGAGUAAACAUAUAGGUUUGGGACAAAAUAAUGACGGCACUAUCAAAAGUAAAAACUGUAACUGCAAUGUAUACAUCUAAGGAUGACCUGACCCCCUUGCUGUACAGUGGGAAAAUAAUUAAAAAAAAAAAAGAGUAAAAGAGAUAUACACAAAAUGCAGUUUAAAAUGGCAUUCAAUAUCACAUUGUUUACUCCACACAAUUCUUAGAUCCAUCAAGAAACAAGUAUACAUAAAGCACCACCCAUGUUAAACUGGGUGCAAGACUUCUAGGUAUAGAAAGUCAAGACAAAUUUUUCCUCUCAUCCAAGCUUAUAAUAAUAUAUUCCUUGGCAUCAGUCAGCUUCGCAAAGCAGAGGCAAUUAUGCCAAUGGGGAAAAAAUGUUCUGUAGCUACUAUAUAAAGUCUCAGUUGUCAUUUUUCAUAGGUAUCUCUUAUUUAAAAAUAAUUAUUGGUUUUAUGCAGGUGGAAUUUUUGACAUGGAGGACUGGAAAAGUCAUGAACUUUGAAGUCUACACACCCGGGUUUCACAGCUCUUAGUGGUCUUGGGAAAAUUAAUUCAUCUCUCUGAGCCUAUUUCUGCAACUUGGAUAAGGCUGCUACUGCCACAGUGCAAAAUUUUGUUCUUCCAAUCCAUAAGUUCUAAGGAUCACUACUGAAGUUAUAUCAACCAUGUUCUCUUCUGCUUUUCAAUCUUAUUCCAUCUUACUCUCUAUGGGGUGCAGAUUUCAUACCUGCACCUCUGUGUUAAGAAUAUAGGAAGCAAGGAAACCACGGAGAACAAACAACCAUAUGCAGAAUCUUUAUACCCUGCUGGCAGGUUGCACUCAGGGCUGUCUACUGGAUCCCAUAGAAGCACUUGCCUGGCCAGGUUCACUUUAUUAGGUGGCCUCUGCCCAAUCCCAUGUGCCAAGACAUUUAAUGGAAUCACUGAGAUACUGUUGCCAUUGCUCAAGUCAAUGUGAGAACUGUUAAGCUUAUGGACCCAUGUCAUGGUCUCAAAUAAAAGCUGAAAAAUCAAUAACUUAGGGCAGUUUUCCUUUUCAUAUUUCUCAUUCAAGUGGAGCAAAAUCCAUUGCAGAUGUAUAUUUAGAGAUGCGUUGAGGUACUAAAAGAGGUCGUCAAAUCCAGAGAACAAAUAUUUGCCUCUUCUAAAUAGCCUCCCUUCAAUGAAUCUUUUAAUACGGAGAGUAAUUAAUCCAAACAACUAGUCAGCAAUAUAAUUGAGUUGGAAACUCUUUUUUUCUAUUUGUGUUCUUUGAAAUCACAAUUGUCAGUAAGGUUGAUGGACCCGAGGCAGUCUAUGGGCAUAAUUCUGUUUAAUUUAGUAAACUUGGAUUUCUGUUUGGCUGAGUGUAAUAUGUAAACAGCAGCAUCUGCAGUAGCAUCAAGGGGAGGA